UCGAUCGAAGAUAUCGUUCUGCAAAUUUAUCAAAUUUAUUGUUAAAUUUGUUUAGGACAAAAAUCUCGAAGAUAUCGGGAGAAUAAUAAAAGAUCAUUUGUGAGAUAAAUUUUCUAUCGAACGCUUCGUAACAUUGUUGGAAACAUAUGUGUUGCAUAAACAUAUCGUGGAAACGUUACACGAUAUAAACACACUUUAAUUCGUAUACUUUCGAGAAACACACACGCUUUUGUUUUCCCCUUCCACCAAAACAGAUCACACGUCCUUAUUGCGUAUUAUCGUUCUACAGUCUCUAUUCGACUUUCGAGUGGUUGUCACGUUUUCCGUAUCGCGCGUUCAAUUUUACAAUGGCGCAAAAGCGUUUCGUUAUUCGGCAAAUAUUUCGUGCCAACGUCGAAGCAAUUAUUUUUUAACAACGUGAAAUGUAUAAGAUAACAAUUGGAAUAUCGCUGGAUCGAGAAGAACUUUCUAAUUUUCAGAGGUUAGGUUCAACGAUUCAACGCGAUCGAAUACAAAAAGUACGCGAAUGAAGAGCAUCGUAACGUCCUUCUAUAAAUUUGUGUUCGAUUUUACAAUAGUGGAAAAGUGUUUCGUUAUUCGGCAAAUAUUUCGUGCCAACGUCGAAGUAAUUAUUUUUUAACAACGUGAAAUGUACAAGAUAACAAUUGGAUGGAAUAUCCUUGCAUCGAGAAGAAUUUUCGAGAUUUUCAGAGGUUAGGUUCAACGAUUCGACGUGAUCGAAAAAUACAAAAGUACAAGAGGGUAUCGGUCCCAUCGCUAUCCGCGGGUCACGUGCACCGCGUCAGGGCCGUAGGGUGGCGUUCUUGCGCAGGGGUGCAAGAAGUAAGGGCUGUUUCGUGAGCUGCAUACGGGAAAACAGCAGAGCAGAGAGGGAAAAUGGAGAGAAUCGAAAUUUCCGCGAACAGCCACGGGCAUUUUUACGUGGGCAUCCAUCCAAACUCGAUCUAUCGCGAGGGUUCUCGCGUCUGGCUUAGGGGGGAGGGAGGGAGAAGACGAAAUUUUCAAUGGCCUUAACUAGUGGAACUCGAGGGAAAUAUUAAUUUUAAUUUGACAAGGGAAAGAAAACGAUUUUUGUCGGAUUUAGUGAUGGGUUAGAGUUGCUCGCAAUCUUGUUUGUUUGUAUUAUAUUUUAAUGUAUAUAUGAUGGAAAGGAAGUUUUAUAUUUCUUGUUAAUUACUUUAUUAUUUAUUAUUUAUUAAUUUGAUGUAAAUGAAUGUGCAAAUAAAUUUACACGAAAUCAA